rnacentral:rRNA from 1 species
UACGUAGGGCGCGAGCGUUGUCCGGAAUUAUUGGGCGUAAAGAGCUCGUAGGCGGCCUGUCGCGUCGGUUGUGAAAGCCCGGGGCUCAACCCCGGGUCUGCAGUCGAUACGGGCAGGCUAGAGUUCGGUAGGGGAGAUCGGAAUUCCUGGUGUAGCGGUGAAAUGCGCAGAUAUCAGGAGGAACACCGGUGGCGAAGGCGGCAUCCUGGACCGGCAUUGACGCUGAGGAGCGAAAGCCAGGGGAGCAAACGGG